GGUUCUGGGGGUCUUUUCUUAGCUUUGGGUUGCUGAGUUGUCUCCCCACCAGAUGGAGUCUGAGAGGUGGCGGGCUGUGGGUUCCUGGAUGACGUCAUCCUCACAUCUGUGGCGGAUUACCUAAUUGACGGCAGCAUAAGAGGGGUGGAACGCCGGUACUUCGACGCCAGAGUGUCAACCGUUGAUGGAUCCGCCCUGAUCUGGUUGCCUGCUGUACCAGUUACCCAGCCACGACGUCUUGGGUAGCCUCCCCUAUAUGCCUGACAAACAAGACUCAUCAGUUUCCGUAACUCCAUUACCUCUCAGAAGUUUCCGACCGGCCGUUCCCCCCUACUACCCGCCGCCUUCAGAGACAAAACCUCCUGUCCGCCCUCCAACGCCACUUUCCAACCCACCACGCCUCACGCAGAGACCCCUGAACCUACCACUCCCCCUCCAAGCCGUUUGAACGCACAGAGCCAUACCCCGAGAGCAGCCGAGCAGUUCCUGGACCAGCUUCACUUUCUG